GACGAACGCUGGCGGCGUGCUUAACACAUGCAAGUCGAACGGUAAGGCCCUUCGGGGUACACGAGUGGCGAACGGGUGAGUAACACGUGGGUGAUCUGCCCUGCACUUCGGGAUAAGCCUGGGAAACUGGGUCUAAUACCGGAUAGGACUCCUGGCUUCAUGGUUGGGGGUGGAAAGCUUUUGCGGUGUGGGAUGGGCCCGCGGCCUAUCAGCUUGUUGGUGGGGUAAUGGCCUACCAAGGCGACGACGGGUAGCCGGCCUGAGAGGGUGACCGGUCACACUGGGACUGAGAUACGGCCCAGACUCCUACGGGAGGCAGCAGUGGGGAAUAUUGCACAAUGGGCGCAAGCCUGAUGCAGCGACGCCGCGUGAGGGAUGACGGCUUUCGGGUUGUAAACCUCUUUCAGCAGGGAAGAAGCGUGAGUGACGGUACCUGCAGAAGAAGCACCGGCUAACUACGUGCCAGCCGCCGCCGUAA
rnacentral:rRNA from 1 species